AAUUUAAGCGCGUUUUGUUUGUUCACCAUUUUCCAACAAAAAAUUCAAGAAAUAAUCAACUCCUAAUUCAUGUUUAUCUCCCCGAACUUUCCUUCUCUUUCUAUUUUAAUACAGUUUAUUUAAUGUCUGCGUUACUAAAAGUAGAGAACAGAUCGCCUUAUUAGGAAUGAGUGAAUGCCAAUUUUCAAACUUUUUGUUUGCUGGUUGAAAUCAACACAGAGACUCUAAAACCCCACUUCUCCCAGAUUUGCAUGGCCCGGUCAGAUGUUCCAACAAUCUUGCCAGCAGGUGUCAUAUGGUGCAUGGCUUAUGUUCUUGUUGCAAUUAUCAGCUCUCUGCGUGCAUGUACUUUAGUCUGCUUCUGUGUUUCAAGUUGGUGAAGCAGUUUUAACACAAUUCAGAAUCACUUUUUACUUUGAGUUUACUGUGAUUUCGUCUGAAGGUCCAGAAAUCAGACAUGGAUAAGUGAGAUGCUUGAUGCAAAGAGAUGAAAGUACAUAUAUUCUCCGUAAUUAUUGAAAACUCAUAUAGUUGCGCCACUGUAGUUUAGGCAAGUAGAUUCACCCACUAAUACAUCAAAAGAUAGUUGAGCAAUUGUGAAUAUAUGAGAGGCUGCAGAAUGCAGAUUACAGGUUAUCAUGUUCAGGUAGAGUUUGACAGUGAGCUCUGAAUGUCCGUUCAUGAUAUAAUGGUUCUCAUUUUUGUGAUUCAAGCAGGAAUUUCCCGGAUAAGUGCUUUGAUAUAAACGACUUACCCUUAUUUUACAUCAAUUAAGUUGCUUAGCCAAAGUCUUAAUAUCAUUUAUGUUUAUGCUCAUACCAGAAAAAAUCAAACUUAAACGAAAGUGAGAUGGAAACUGGAAAGUAAUCCACAAGCCCGGGUUGGUUCGUUAUCGUUUUUUGUUAUCAGUUUUCUAAUUGUUUUUUUGUUUUCGGUACAUUGGUAUGGAGUAUCAAUUUUAGUCCAAACGUAAAGAUCAGUGUUGUACCUAAUUUGAAUAUGUGAUACAAAAACAAAUAAUUGCGAAAUUGUGUAGAACAGCAGGAAAAAUAUAAUUAUACGAGUAACAAAAGUACUAUUAUAAAGAAAUUUGCCAUUACAUAAAUGUUAUGAACAGUAAAUCAGCACAAUUUAUUUAAAAUUCUAAACCUCUUAAUUGCAACUGCUAUUGAACCUGAAAAAAAAAAAACAGAAAACCUACUAUAAUUGCAUUGCAUGGUUAUAUGCUUAUUAUCAAGUACUACUACUACUGUAACACAAUAUUAUUAUGGUUUAAGCACUUGGGGCGGGAGCAGCAGCACCGGGGCAGACGAGGGUGUGGAGGAACUUGACUGCUGGCCUUGGGUCGUUUUCGAGAACUGAACAACAUUGAGCACUUGCGGAGCCGGGAUGAUUACUGUUGAAUAGAUAAGUAUCCAAAUCAGUUUUACAAGCAUCAAUUCCAGCAACUAUCUCAGGGAGAUUAGCAGGCAAUGGUGGAAGUGGCCCUGUGUAUUUGGGUCUAGGCAAGACUCGAGGACGAUGCGGAUGCGGAUGCGGCAAAACAUGUGGCAAACGGUGAAAUGGGUGUCGGAAAAAGGUUUCCUGUUGCACAUCUUGGCCAAAGGCUCCACCUACGAAAAGAGCUAGUAAACCAACGAGCAAGAUUGCCUUGUUCAUCAUCUUUUUUUUUUGUAGGGGUUUUGCUUUGGUUUUUCUUGGAACGUACUUCUCAAAUGGGUUUGAUGGUUGAUUUCUGUGAUUUUGAAAGUGAGGUUUAAGGGGGGUUUAUAUAGUUUUUGAAGCUAUGGUUGAAUAAACCUAAACUCUAUAGAGAUAGGUAUUAUAUGCAAUCCUAUAAGAUAGAAAUUUUAGGAAUGGUAUUUGAUUCAA